CCUACGGGAGGCAGCAGUAGGGAAUAUUGCUCAAUGGGGGAAACCCUGAAGCAGCAACGCCGCGUGGAGGAUGAAGGUUUUCGGAUUGUAAACUCCUUUUGUUAGAGAAGAUAAUUACGGUAUCUAACGAAUAAGCACCGGCUAACUCCGUGCCAGCAGCCGCGGUCAUACGGAGGGUGCAAGCGUUACUCGGAAUCACUGGGCGUAAAGAGCGCGUAGGCGGGAUAGCAAGUCAGAUGUGAAAUCCUAUGGCUUAACCAUAGAACUGCAUUUGAUACUGUUAUGCUAGAGUAUGGGAGAGGUAGGUGGAAUUCUUGGUGUAGGGGUAAAAUCCGUAGAGAUCAAGAGGAAUACUCAUUGCGAAGGCGACCUGCUAGAACAUAACUGACGCUGAUGCGCGAAAGCGUGGGGAGCAAACAGGAUUAGAUACCCGGGUAGUC
rnacentral:rRNA from 1 species